rnacentral:rRNA from 1 species
CAGCCGCCGCGGGAAUACGGAGGGUGCAAGCGUUAUCCGGAUUUACUGGGUUUAAAGGGUGCGUAGGCGGACUUGUAAGUCCGAGGUAAAAUCUCUGAGCUUAACUCGGAAACUGCCUUGGAUACUAUAGGUCUUGAAUCUCGUUGAGGUUUGCGGAAUAUGUCAUGUAGCGGUGAAAUGCUUAGAUAUGACAUAGAACACCUAUUGCGAAGGCAGCAGGCUAAACGAAUAUUGACGCUGAUGCACGAAAGCGUGGGGAUCAAACAGGAUUAGAUACCCCCGUAGUCCCUGUCUCUUAUAA